AAGUCGUAACAAGGUUUCCGUAGGUGAACCUGCGGAAGGAUCAUUACAGAGUUCAUGCCCUUCGGGGUAGAUCUCCCACCCGUGUGUAUCAUUAUCGACUGUUGCUUUGGCGGGCCGCGUGCCUCGCACGCCUAGACUUCGGUCCGGCGCGCCCGCCAGAGGACCUCAAACUCUGAAUGUUAGUGUCGUCUGAGUACUAUUAAAUAGUUAAAACUUUCAACAACGGAUCUCUUGGUUCUG
rnacentral:misc_RNA from 1 species